rnacentral:rRNA from 1 species
UACAGAGGUCUCAAGCGUUGUUCGGAUUCAUUGGGCGUAAAGGGCUCGUAGGUGGCCAACUAAGUCAGACGUGAAAUCCCUCGGCUUAACCGGGGAACUGCGUCUGAUACUGGAUGGCUUGAGUUCGGGAGAGGGAUGCGGAAUUCCAGGUGUAGCGGUGAAAUGCGUAGAUAUCUGGAGGAACACCGAUUGCGAAGGCAGCUCGCUGGGACGUUACUGACGCUGAGACGCGAAAGCGUGGGGAGCAAACAGG